rnacentral:misc_RNA from 1 species
AAGUCGUAACAAGGUUUCCGUAGGUGAACCUGCGGAAGGAUCAUUAAAAAUUUUUAUCCGGGAAUUCGUUUCGUUUUCCAGGAUUAUUUGUAUUCAAAUCUCACUCUUUAUAAAUAUAUUUAUUAUAUAAAACAAAAUAAAAAAGAAAACUUUCAACAACGGAUCUCUUGGCUCUC